CGGUACCACCUCUCAGAUGUGCCCAAAGCAUAUGGCGGACAGUCUGGAAUCACCUUCUGGGCAUGAGGGAACCACCUCUCAGACGUACCAGAACCAUGUGCGGCACACGCUGGAACCCACUACUGGACAGACCGGAACCACCAGCUGGACACGCCGGAAUCACCUGACAGCUACGCCAGAACCACUUGCCGGACACUCCGGAAUCACCUGUCGGGCGUGCCAGAACCACAUCUCAGAUGUGCCAGAACCACGUGCCAGAGACACCAGAUGAACCUGCCGAGCACACCGGAACCUCCUGCUCGACUCACCGGAACCACCUACCGGAGACGCCAAAAUCACCUGCCGGCUAGGCCAGAACCACGUGGCGGACUCUAUGGCAUCACCCGCCGGGCAUGCCGGAACCACCUCUCAGACGUGCCAGAAUCACGUGCCGGAAACGCCAGAACCACCUACUGGAAAGACCGGAACCACCUGCCGGACCCUCCUGUACCACCUGCUGAGCACGCUGGAACAACCUGCUCGGCUCCCUGGAGCCACCUGCUGGACAUACCAAAAUCACCAGCUGGACAUGCCAAAAUCACCUGCCGAACACGCCAAAAUCACCUGCCGGACACGCCAAAAUCACCUGCCGGCUAUGCCAUAACCACGUUGCGGACAGUCCAGAGUCAUCUUCCGGGCAUGCCGGAACCACGUCAUGGACAGACUGCAAACACCUGCCGUACCUGCCUGAACCACCUGCCAAGCACUCCGAACCACCUGCUUGAAUCGCCAGAACCACCUGUUGGACACACCAAAACCACCAGCGGGCUACGCCAGAACCACUUGGAGGACUCUCAGGGAUCACUGGCCGGGCAUGCCGGAACCACCUCGAAGACAUGCCAGAACCAUGUGCCAGACACGCCGGCACCACCUACCAGACACAACAGAACCACCUGCCGGACAUGCCUGAACCACCUGACGAGCAUGCAGGAACCACCUGCUCGACUCGCCAGAACCACCUGUGGGACACGCCAAAAUCACCUGCUGGCUACGCCAGAACCACUUGGUGGACAAUCCGGAAUCUCCUGCCACGUGUGCCGGAACCACCCCUCAGACGUGCAGGAAGCACGUGCGGGACACGCCGGAAACACCUCCCGGACAGACAGGAACCACCUGCCAGACAUGUCGGAAACACCUGCAGAGCACGCCGGAGCCACCUGCUCGACUCGCCGGAACCACCUGCCAUACAGGCCAAAAUCAACAGCUGGCUAUGUGGGAACCACCUGU
rnacentral:lncRNA from 1 species